AAACCUGAUCACAUGAUUGCAUGCCUAAUUUCUAGACCCAAAAUGGGUCAAAGAGAAUGAAUAUACAUUGCAUGUGGGGUCUUUUUGUUUUGUUUAUUGGUUUUUAUGUGUUGCUUUUGAAGGUAUCAUUUAAUUGUGAAAGAAAGCUUUGGAGGAGAACAUAAUUGUGUAUCUGGAAACUGGUUGUGGAAAGACCUAAAUAGCCGUGUUGCUUAUGUAUGAACCAGUUGAUACUCAAACCUCAGAAGAACAUGUGUGCUAAAUCCUGAAGAUCUUUGUGGUAUAUAUGGAUCAAAUUGCUCCCAAUGGAUUAUUGCAAUGGAGUAUUAGAAAGAAUGUGGCUAUCAUGAAGCCUCAUGAAGCAGCCAAAUUAGUUGCCGAAUGAGAUUUUUCAUGUAAAAGGACACUCCCCUGAACUGAAAGAGUAAGCCAAUCUUAUCUUAGACUGAAGCAUUUUCUUUUUGGUAAUCACCUUUAUAAAGUAAAAUGUCCACAAAUCUACUUCAAAUUUCAUGUUAUUCUUAGACCUGCAAGACAUCGUGAGUCUCCAAGCUGAUAAACACUCUGUAUCUUUCUUCAUGAUUGUCUUUCAAACUUCGAGUAUCUCAAACCUCAAAUUAAUUGAUUACUUUUGCAACUUAUUUAGAAAGUCUGGUUAGACUGCUUAUUUCACUUUUGUUGUUAUUGAUAAAAGUUGAGUUUGCAAUACACCUGUUACAAGUUUUUCGUUGUUUAUAUUGCCGGGCAUACCAUUGGAAGCAUGGUAGGAAAUGUCAUGGAAUUUUCUGGCUUCAGCCAUCCGAGACAAGUUCGUCUUAGCAGGAGUACAACAUUUCUUUGAUUCUGUUGGAAAGUCAAUCUCCAAUGAGAGCUUCAAGGCUUGAUGGAAUAGAGCCGUAGACAGCGACAGAGAGAGCUAAGGAAACGACCUCGCAGCUUUCAAGUUUUGAGCUGCUUAACCAAAACAGAGCUUGCAGCGAUGGAGACAGAAACGGCGGCGAUUCUAAGCGACCUAGGGAGGAAUCAGUGAAUGAAUGUUGCAAGAAGAACUGAGUUAGUUCAAGCUAUUGCAAAUAAACUUUUCAAUUGGCCUUCGACUAUGGACUCUUUGCUUCGUCUACGGCUAGGAAUUUCAUCUGCUUUCAUUUUUCUUAAGCCCCAUCAAAGUAACAAUCUUAAGAAAGGAAAAUUGCCUCUGCUUCCUGGUCACUCCUUGCAACUUCAGAACUUGCUCAAGGCCAUGUUGGAUCCAAAUCCAGUCUGCAGACCAUCAGCUAAAGAGUUGGUUGAAAAUCUAAUGUUCCACAGGGUGCUAAAAAAUGCAUGGGCCUAGGACAACCACGAUUGCGAAUUGAAGAGAUUGGGGUAUUGUAUUAUAGUAUAUGUCAUCCUUUUGUGUCUGCCAGCCCAGUAAAAUAGGCAGAAGUAUGUGAAUGGCCAAUUUUGUAUCUAUAAUUCUCCCUCAUGUAUUAAUAUGCACCUAAUUUUCCUCCUAAUGCGGUGCAUUUUUUAUGAAUCCUGAGGAUUCCUUGGUCAUGGACUCGAGUAUUUUACUGGUAAUGGAAAAGUCUAAAGCC